rnacentral:rRNA from 1 species
UACGGAGGGUGCAAGCGUUAUCCGGAAUCACUGGGUUUAAAGGGUGCGUAGGCGGUCUGAUAAGUCAGUUGUGAAAUUCCCCGGCUUAACCGGGUGGACUGCGAUUGAUACUGUUGGACUUGGAUCAGGUUGAGGUAGGCGGAAUGUGACAUGUAGCGGUGAAAUGCUUAGAUAUGUCAUAGAACACCGAUUGCGAAGGCAGCUUGCUGGGCUUAGAUUGACGCUGAGGCACGAAAGCGUGGGGAGCAAACAGG